rnacentral:lncRNA from 1 species
AUUAAUUAACCUCAUUGGUUGAUAUCUUUGGCGGAAGUACAUGUGAUACAUCCUCAUUCUUUCAAUAUCCAAGCUGUGGGAAGGUCGUGCUCCACGUGUUGUCGGCAAAGUAACUAUAUUCUUUAACUUUUACUUACAUUUGCCUUGGUGGCAAUAUAGCCUUGGUGGCUUUAAGACCUUGGUGGUCAUUUAUAUAUGCCUUGGUGGCAAAAGACCUAGGUGGUCAUUUAUAUAUGCCUUGGUGGCAAUAGACCUAGGUGGUCAUUUUUAUAUGCCUUGGUGGCAAUAGACCUAGGUGGUCAUUUUUAUGAUUUUUUACAUUUGCCUUGAUGGCAACAAUGAAUUAAAAAUACUAGCCUUGGGGGCGUCAAGACCUUGGUGGUCAUUUAUAUUCGCCUUGGCGGCUUCUUGAUAGAACUAGAUGGUAAUGUUUGACCUUGGUGGCAAACUGAUGUUUUGGGAUUUAGACCUUGUGUAGUUAUUAUCAACCCAGGUGGUCAGAUAUUUGUUAUGCCGUGCGCCGGUUAAACGCAGGGCAAAGUGCUAUCGCUAUAUAAAAUAUAUGUGGAAGUGGGGGCUCUGGCCAUUUUGGAAAAUUGUAGUUGAAAGGAGAAUAAUAAAUUGUUUAUAGGGUAAAUAGUUUCUUUUGUUACUUUUGACUGUGUUGUGGACUUUUCAUUUAUUUUUACAUCGUACAUACUGAUAGAAAUGCUAUUUAAAGACUUUGUUAGAAAAGAAUAGAAUUAUUGAGAAAGUGGAAUAAUUUAGUGUGACAUGUCACUUGAUAUUCAUUUUUUUAUCGGAGUGAUGUGUAUUGAAUUAUAAGGUGUCUUCGUCGAGGUCCGCGUUCAGCGGUCUGUUUGAUUGUACAUAGAAUUGAAUAGAAUGUUUUUGUUUUCAGAUGGUGUUACCUACAGCUUUGACAGGGUGACGAAUGAAGGAGAAGUAAUAUGACAUUGCACGAUGAUUCAUGUCAAUGAGUUCGAACAACCUUUUUAAAAGGAAAGGAUUUUUUCUAAUCAGAAUAUGGUGAGAACAAAUUGCAAUUGAAGUAAUGUUUUGAUUUCUGAAAAUAGGAAAAUAAUGAAUGGGGAAAAUAUUGAUACUACACUAAAUUAUGUAUGUCUGUGUUGAGAAAGGCAGAAGAUGCCAAUAUGGCACGGUACUAAAAAAAAAAAAAAAAAAAAAUCUGUGAUGGAAGCAGCUUUAUGUUCAAAUGAACCUAUUUAAAAGUAAUGCUAAUAAUUUUUCCGUAAUUUCAUGAUGUUUUCUAUUGGAUGUGUAUUUAAUUUCAUUGAUGUGUUGAAAUAUGUCACAAAAAUCUUUUUGUCAUGGGAGAUUAAAUAAUGGUUGCAAUAUUUUUGUUUUGUUUUGUUUUAUCUAAAUUAAUAAAUAAAUAUAAUGUUGAAUGAUUUUGUAUACUAGUACAAAUGUAUACUUAAAUUUUAUGUAUGGUUAAAUUUUUUAAUUUAAAUUUCUUUGUCUACAGUUCGAGGGACACUGAUUCCCUAGUGGUUUUCCACGUGGAUUGUAGGCAAAGGGAUUUUUCCUUUUCAAAGUGUGACUAAUGCUGUCUUUAGUACAAAUAAACAAUUUGUUAUUGGUUAAUAUAUUUUCAGCAGACAUGUGAAGAAUCGAGUGGAAAUACAAUUGUCAAUGUUCCUGAUUAUGAAGUAAAGAGUGUGUUUGAUUCAACAACAGUAAAGAAAGAGACAAGCCAGCAUAGUUUACACUUGGAGGUUAAGUCCCUUUGCUUACAAGCUUUCCACAUGCUGAAGAUGUUAUUAGAAUAAUGACAAUGUUCAUUUUGAUAUGAGUUCAUUGCCUUAACUCAACUUUUAAAAGUCCGUAUGUGGUCAAAUUCAUGAGAAUUUAUUGAAUUAUGAACGAUUUAUAAAGAACUG